rnacentral:rRNA from 1 species
UAGGGAAUAUUGGACAAUGGGGGCAACCCUGAUCCAGCCAUGCCGCGUGAGUGAAGAAGGCCCUCGGGUUGUAAAGCUCUUUUGUCCGGAAAGAAAAGCUUCGGGUUAAUACCCCGGGGUUCUGACGGUACCGGAAGAAUAAGCACCGGCUAACUUCGUGCCAGCAGCCGCGGUAAUGCGAAGGGUGCAAGCGUUACUCGGAAUUACUGGGCGUAAAGCGUGCGUAGGUGGUUGUUUAAGUCUGAUGUGAAAGCCCUGGGCUCAACCUGGGAAUGGCAUUGGAACCUGGGCAGCUAGAGUGCGGUAGAGGGUAGUGGAAUUCCCGGUGUAGCAGUGAAAUGCGUAGAGAUCGGGAGGAACAUCUGUGGCGAAGGCGACUGCCUGGACCCGCACUGACACUGAGGCACGAAAGCGUGGGGAGCAAACA